rnacentral:pre_miRNA from 1 species
GUAGUCUGUUAGCUCGAGGUUUUUUGCUGACGUGGAAUUUCCAUGUCAGCUAAAAUACGGGUCCCACCUGGAUUUUUAUCAAUUUUUGAAUGGUAAAAAAGGUUGACGUGGGGCUCAAUUUUAAUUGGCGUGGAAAUUCCAUGUCAGCAAACAAUCUCGAGUUAGCAAACUC